rnacentral:misc_RNA from 1 species
GUUGCGUCACGGGUCGAAUUAAUCAYGACUUAUGAGUGACAAUAUACUCGAUGUCGAAGGCAUUGUGACCCAACAAGUGGGGAGUUCGAUUUGGUUGGGACAAAUCGAACGAUCUGCGGUAACAUCGAUGAAUGAUGUGGUGUGGAAGCAAGUUGAGCCAUGCCCCGGAUGUCGUUGUUACUUUGUGUUGCUGAUGAGUUUUGUCAACUGUUGUGGUGUUGCGAGGGUUUCUUGGAUUGCUGCGUCGUUGGUUAUGACAUUCGUCUCAAGGUGAUGCGGUGUCAUGUUGCCUGUGUAUCCUGGUUUCGAGCUAUUGAGCUUAAAACACGUGGAUUAUCGGUUAGUGAUAAGGCAUCGCUCCCUUGGUUGAUGAAAGUCGUCCAAUGAUGCGGUGGUUUGUUUGUUUUCUUCUCGCAUCGCUCGGUGCAUUCUGUGGUCAUCUUUGCUGUUAGCAGCUUGCUUGGCAAUUGAGCUUGGUGGGUUGCUAAUUGGCUGGGUGUCUUCGGGGAUGUCUACCGUAAAGGUGCAUGAGUGGUGUUUGGUUUGUUACGGGUGGUUGGCUCUUUGCUUGCGCAACAACUUCCACCUGGCAUACCUCUUCAAUCUUGUGUCAAUGCUUGUAUUGCCUUGAAUGCACGACGGGUUUCUUGUGUUGCAUGCCUAAUUAAUGGUAUCGUUUGAUGAAUAGGUUUCCUUUCGUCUUGCGUCGCCUAGAUGAUGUGAGAUGAACCCUGAAGCAGCCUUUGUGAUCCACUCUUUUGAUGCAUACGCAUUGAUUUAGUGGCCCAUUGAGUGUUGCUCGGUCUCAUGGAUAUGGAACCUGGUGUGGGCAUGGAAUCUUAAYGGUUCCUUGUUUGCCCAAGUUUAGCUUUUCUAAAACGAUUGUCU